GAGCCUGUUAAAGAUAAUGCUAAUGAGAUUAGGAUUAGAUUAUUUAAUGUUAUCUAUUAUUAUAUUCGGUUAUGGUUAAGAUAUAUUCGGUUAUUAUUUAGAUUAUGAUUAAGAUAAAAUAGAAUCAGAGUAGGAUUCUAUGUAAUUAGUUAUAAAUAGAUAGGCCGGGAUUAUUUGGUUAAUGAAGCCGGGGAAUCGUCAUAAUUAAUUAGUGUUCGCCGAAGGUGAUAUACGGUGAUGAGUUAUUUUAUUCAAUAAAGUUAUUUUGUUUUGCUUCCAUGACAACGUACCAGAUUCUUUGAUUUGUCUUCUUCCUCUCUUGUCUUUUUCUAUUUUACUUUUUGUGGAGAUCUCUAUAUACCAUAACAAGUAUAUAGAACGUAUUUGUUGGUGGCCCAUCACCGUAACAGAGCCGCCGGCAGCCAUCUGUAAUAAUGACCCGUGCGUGCUGAGGCGAGUAUGGCGGUGAGGAUGACAGCAGCCUGCACUGGGCCGCGUCUCUCGGCUCGGAUGAGAAGAUACUGUAAUGCCCUGAUUCACCGCAACCACCUAAUGAUGAGAUUGCUCUGAAGGGAGGAUGGCAGUGAGGAUUGUGGAUGAAUCGGAUCAGAUCUGGGGAUAAUUCGGUGGGGAAAUAGUAGAAGAAUUAGAGAGAAGAGAGGUGAGGAAGAGAUGGGUCUGAGGAAGAAGAAGAAGGAAGAAGAUAGAAUUAGAAGGAAGAGAAAUUACCAAGUCAUUCCAUAAACUUCUCAAUCGCUACAUCUCCUACUUACUAUCCCCCAAUCAAACGCCAACUAGAAAAAAUUUUACAGUUAAAAAAAAUUUAUUGUUUAAAAAUAUAAUACCAUUUUUUGUUGCUGUGAAGAAAAAAAUCUACUAUUUUAAAAAAAUUU
rnacentral:lncRNA from 1 species